UACGUAGGGGGGCAAGCGUUGUCCGGAUUUAUUGGGCGUAAAGAGCGUGUAGGCGGCCUGACAGGUCUGCUGUGAAAACUCGAGGCUCAACCUCGAGAUGUCGGCGGAAACCGUCUGGCUAGAGUCCGGAAGAGGCGAGUGGAAUUCCCGGUGUAGCGGUGAAAUGCGCAGAUAUCGGGAGGAACACCAAUGGCGAAGGCAGCUCGCUGGGACGGUACUGACGCUGAGGCGCGAAAGCGUGGGGAGCAAACAGG
rnacentral:rRNA from 1 species